GUCUCCAUAGCUAAGUCGGUAGAACUCCCGACUAUGGUGCGUAGAACUCGGGUUCGAGCCCCGCUGAAGGCA